rnacentral:tRNA from 1 species
AGGGACUUAGGUUAUGUAGACCAAGAGCCUUCAAAGCUCUAAGAAAAUUAAUACUAUUUAGCCCCUG